rnacentral:ncRNA from 1 species
GAUAAAGCGUUGAGCGGGGAAGAGUAAGAUUACGUCUGAGGUUUGACAGAGAAUAACCACCAUUGGCUGGAAGUGGUUUAAGCCGUCAAGUAAUCUGAAUGCGCCCCUGAGCCCUUCUUUGAACACCGUAUGAGCGGACUAGUAGGAGAAGGCGGCAUCCCAUUGCCGUUACGAAAUGGAAAAGUUGGGGUUCUUGUCAUAUAGAGAGCCCAAACAGAGUGGAACCGCGCAUUUGAUAGCGUCUCUGUC